rnacentral:lncRNA from 10 species
AAAGAACUGGCCUCCACAUUUGGAGAGCACGUCUGAGGGGCCAGGAGACCUCUCCAUGCCUCUCAUUUCAUUCUAGACCAUUUAAUCUGCUGCAAGUGAAAACUGAUUGACUCCUUUACAUUCUAACUAGGUUUUAUUAUUUUUUGUGAAUUUUUUUGUGUCUCUAGGUAUGAGAGAACAGAAAUAGAGAUUUGGGUGGCUUUAGCUGUUUAAAAUAAGGUGACCAAACCUCCUUUCUGCCUGUUCCUGCUAUUUCAAACACCACUGUUCUCCACACAAUGAAAAUGGCCUUGUUCCUUAAGCCAAAGAUAGCUGAACUUUUGUUUGACAUUUUACACGGUGUCUUAUACCUGCCUGAAAGAAGGGGUGCAGGUCUUCACAGAAUGAGGAAAGGCCAGAGAUUUGGACUCCAAAGACCACAGCUUGGAUUCUAAGCUGUCACUUACCAGCCAAAAGGGAAUCUUGGCCCAGUCACUGAAGCCCCCUGAGUCUCAACUACCUCAUCUGUAAAGGGUCUCAUCAGGCCCACAUUAGAUUAUCUACUCGACCAUCAGUUCAAGCUCUAAGGUAAAGAUGUAGAGCAACUGGAACUUUCAUACACUGCUGCAACCACUUUGGAGACUAUCAGCAUUUUCCACUAAAGCUGAACAUUAUGGUCUAGAAAUUGCACUCCUGAGCAGCUUCUGAGAGAUGGGGGACGUGGAGCAGUCCUGGGUCUCAUGGUCUGAAGGGAGAAGAAAUCCUGCCCAGGCAGACCACUGUGAAUGUCCAGGCUUGUUUCCACCUGAACAGACUCUCCCUUAGCUAAGAGAACCAGACAAACUCCAUCUUGGCUCUUUCACUGGCAGCCCCUUCCUCAAGGACUUAACUUGUGCAAGCUGACUCCCAGCACAUCCAAGAAUGCAAUUAACUGAUAAGAUACUGUGGCAAGCUAUAUCCACAGUCCCCAAGAAUUCAUCUGUUUGAUAACGCCCAAAGCCCUGCAUCUAUAACCUUGUAAUAGUCUUAAAGCCCCUGCAUCUGGAACUGUUUACUUUCCUGUAACCAUUUAUCCUUUUAACUUUUUGACUACUUAACUUCUGUAAAAUUGUUUUAACUAGACGACCCCCCCUUUCUAAACCAAGGUAUAAAAGUUAAUCAAGCCCCUUCCUCGGGGCCGAGAGAAUUUUGAGCGUUAGCCGUCUCUCGGUCGCCGGCUAAUAAAGGACUCUUAAUUCAUCUCAAAGUGUGGCGUUUUUUU